rnacentral:rRNA from 1 species
UACAGGGGGUGCAAACGUUGCUCGGAAUCAUUGGGCGUAAAGCGCACGUAGGCGGUUCGUUAUGUCGGAUGUGAAAGCCCUUGGCUUAACCGAGGAAGUGCAUCCGAAACUGGCGAGCUAGAGUACUAAAGAGGAUCGCGGAAUUCCCGGUGUAGAGGUGAAAUUCGUAGAUAUCGGGAGGAACACCGGUGGCGAAGGCGGCUCACUGGCCCGGUACUGACGCUGAGGCACGAAAGCGUGGGGAGCAAACAGG